rnacentral:rRNA from 1 species
CCCUUAGAUGUUCUGGGCUGCACGCGUGCUACACUGAUAUUGCCAAUAUGUCAUUCUUAUCCGAAAUGGAUUGGGUAAUCAAGUAAUGAAAUUUCAUGCUUGGAAUCGGUAAUUGCAAUUUUAUCGUGAACGAGGAAUUCCUAGUAAGCACUAGUCAUCAGCUAAUGUUGAUUAUGUCCCUGCCCUUUGUACACACCGCCCGUCGCUACUACUGAUUGGGUGUUCUAGUGAGAUGCUUAGACCCUUGUUGCAUGGUUCAUUAUUGUGCUCCGAAAGGAAAAAGUUUCAAGCUUGAGUGUCUAGAGGAAGUAAAAGUCGUAACA